CCAAAUUACGUAUGCGUGUCCACCAACUUGAAGGUUAUUCAUUUGUUUUGGAGUUAACGAACGCCUCACACGAUUCCAUCAAACCUCAGCUGCCGUCCGUCUGUCUUUCUUCUACCUUUCAUCUCUUAGCGGUUAGCAGUAGCACUAAAUAAACUGGCAUCUCCCCUCUCUAUCUCAGAACUUGACAUGGAGGCAUGGUGCGACUAUAAAGCUGAACCAUAACUUCUAUACAGUAGCUUCAGUAGUUCAUGUUGACUUCUAAUGACAAAUAACACCAAAAAUGGCACUCUAGUAUCAGUUGAUAAUGCAUUUGGGAAGCUUCCUGAUCAUCUACUGGUAGAAAUUUUCAUUAGAGUUCCCAUCUCAGAAUGGAGCCAAAUAUCAUGCGUCAAGAAGCAGUGGGC